AUAAUCCUAAUUUGAAAUAAUAACCAGAGGAAAGGCCUUAUUACACCCAAAAUAAAAAAAAAUUUAAACUCAAAAUAUUAAGAAUUAUAUAAAAGACUAAGUUUAAACUUUUUGCUAGUUGGCCACCUUCGGGUCCCUCCAUCCUUCGAACCGCCUACUGAGGAUCACCUGAAAAAUUAAAAGGAGGGGGUGAGUUUUGAAGACUCAGUUUGUACAAC
rnacentral:lncRNA from 1 species